rnacentral:lncRNA from 1 species
AGUGGAAUGCAUGCCAUGUGAAAGUGUGAGUUUAUGUGAAGUGAAAAAAUGAUAAAAGUAAUAAGAUAAGAGUGAAGGUGUGCAAAUGUAGAUGAAAGUACUCGUGUGCGAGUGAAGAUAAAAGUGUUCGUGUGCAAGUGAAAGUGAUAAAAGGGUGCAUGUGUGCAAAUGAGACAAAAGUGAAAGUGUAAUGAUAGAGUGGAUUGAGAAUGCAUGAGCCUAGGGAAUUCAUGCAUAUUGGGUACGGGGAAACCUAAAUCGUGACUUGAUUUUCCCUUUGAUUAGAAGGCGAAACUAGCGUGCUAAGGCUAUCGAGUAGCCACACUCGCUCGUUUCCCUUAUCGGAAGGGGAC